UAACGCUGGCGGCGUGCUAACACAUGCAAGUCGAACGGGGUAGCAAUACCCAGUGGCAGACGGGUGAGUAACACGUGGUCAACCUACCUCUGUGUGGGGAAUAACUAGCCGAAAGGUUAGCUAAUACCGCAUACGAUCGUUUUGGGGCAUCUCGAGACGAUGAAAGGAGCAAUCCGCACAGAGAGGGGACUGCGUCCCAUUAGUUAGUUGGUGGGGUAACGGCCUACCAAGACUCCGAUGGGUAGCUGGCUUGAGAGAGCGACCAGCCACACUGGAACUGAGACACGGUCCAGACUCCUACGGGAGGCAGCAGUGAGGAAUUUUCCGCAAUGGGCGAAAGCCUGACGGAGCGACGCCGCGUGUGGGAAGAAGGCCUUCGGGUCGUAAACCACUGUCGAAGGGGACGAUAUUGACGGUACCCUUGGAGGAAGCCCCGGCUAACUACGUGCCAGCAGCCGCGGUAAGACGUAGGGGGCAAGCGUUGUCCGGAAUUAUUGGGCGUAAAGCGCUCGCAGGUGGAUCAACAAGUCUGCAAGCAAAGCCCCGGGCUCAACUCGGGAAUCCGUGUGGAAACUGUUGA
rnacentral:rRNA from 1 species